UACGAAGGGUGCUAGCGUUGUUCGGAAUUACUGGGCGUAAAGCGCGCGUAGGCGGCGAUACAAGUCAGAGGUGAAAGCCUGGAGCUCAACUCCAGAAUUGCCUUUGAAACUGUAUUGCUUGAGUGUCGGAGGGGAUAGCGGAAUUGCUAAUGUAGAGGUGAAAUUCGUAGAUAUUAGCAGGAACACCGGUGGCGAAGGCGGCUAUCUGGACGACAACUGACGCUGAGGCGCGAAAGCGUGGGGAUCAAACAGGAUUAGAUACCCUGGUAGUCCACGCCGUAAACGAUGGGUGCUAGCUGUUCGGGGGUUACCCUUGAGUAGCGCAGCUAACGCGUUAAGCACCCCGCCUGGGGAGUACGGUCGCAAGAUUA
rnacentral:rRNA from 1 species